rnacentral:tRNA from 1 species
GCCUUAGUGGUGUAACGGUAGCACAUUCGACGCGUAUUGAAGAGAUCCAGGUUCGAAUCCUGGCAAGGGCA